rnacentral:rRNA from 1 species
GACAGAGGUGCCAAGCGUUAGGCGGAAUCACUGGGCUUAAAGCGUGUGUAGGCGGAAUUGUAAGUACCUUGUGAAAUCCCACGGCUCAACCGUGGAACUGCUCGGUAUACUGCUUUUCUUGAGCCACUUAGGGGCUGUCGGAACAAACGGUGGGGCGGUGAAAUGCGUAGAUAUCAGGAGGAACACCGGUGGUGUAGACGGCUUACUGGACCACGACUGACGCUGAGGCACGAAAGCGUGGGUAGCAAACAGG